UAUAGCCUAGCAGCAACUGAAGAUAAUAAACCUACCUCUCCUAAUUUCCAUAUAGACAUUCCAUUACACACCCAAUUAUCAUUACCCACGUCUAUCUAUACUAACCUCAACAAAAGACCAUUCUCCUAAUGAUAUGAACCUGAUCUAUCUCUCAAAUAAUGCACUUUCUCAUAAUACAUAUCCUUCCACGAGGUAUCAUCCGCCAUGAAACAAACCUUGGAAACAUCAGUCGCCCAUUACCAAUCACCUUCUCCGAUAAUCCUCAUCCACUUAUGAUCCUAUAUUACAUUCUACUUAAGCAUUGACAUUAGCCAUAUUUAUAUACACGCAAAUAUACAUUGUACUUGUACUCACCUAGGCUAUUUAUGCCGAUAACAUAGUGGAUUGGUGGACUCAUUGCCACCCGCGGUUUUUAUCCCUUUCGGGUUUUCCGCGUCACCAUCUCUUGUCUUGUCUCUCUUUAUUUUCUGUCAUUUAUUUCCUGUCAUUUGCAUACUUUAUUUUAUCUAGUCGUCUAUGUCCCAACCAAAGGUCGUCCAUACGAAAUUUGGCAUAAACAGUUUGGCGCCGUCUGUGGGGAGAUGGCUAGAUUUAUCUUCAAACACAUAUCCACAAAUAUCCUCCCAAACACAAUAUUCGACCCACUUGGGCUCACCAAUAAAGUUACCGCCAGGCGAGGGAUUGUUGUCAUACUGUGUCGCCACCAUGAGAUGGAGCUGCGUCAGGGCACAUGUCGUCGACAUGACAGGCGUCGUCGACGGGUCAAGUGUCGUCAGCAGGUCAGGUGUCGUCGCCAGGCUCGUUGGUCGAUGGAAUAUGGUAUGACGUCAGGGUACAUGUCGUCGCCAGAUCAGGUGUCGACAUCAGCAGGUGUCAUCGCUAGAAGUGAUGCGUUGCAGUGGUCGAAUUCAACCUAGAUGAUGCAUAUCGUGACAACAACGACACCAACGCUUGAUGACAUCGAAAAUAGACGUCACGGACCAUCAUGCAGAUGUCACCACAAACAAGAUACAAUAUGAGUUGUCUCGUACCUUGAUAAGAUCUCGAGACGAUUUGAUCACUUGACGUCGCGAGAAGUAUGGUAUAAAACUCAACCCCAGUGAUUUUAAUUUAAACUAAUAUUGUUUCUAGUCCUUGUUGUCACUAAAACAGAUGCGAACACGUGACGUCAUCCACCAAUGACAUGACGUCAACAUAGUUUCGUCCGACGUCACCUCCACAUCAGUCGACGACGUCUCCAAAAACGAAGGCGACAAAUGGAGAUUCAGCAACAAAUUGUCGGCAACACUAGAUUUUGUGGCUAACUUCAGUCCAAGUAUCAAAUAGGAGAAUUUGUAGUUGUCCUGAAGUCGCCACAGGGGAGCAUAUAGUAUACUCUAUCUCAUUUAAUUUUCAUAUAGUAUACUUGAUUUUCUUUUUAUACAGUAUACUUUGCUUGUUUUAAUUUUCAAAAGCACUUUGAAAUAUAUGCUAUACGUUGUUAUCCUACUUUUUGUACUAACAUCGUCACCACUUGUCGUUUGAUCAUGUCGUGUCGCCAAGUAUUGUCUUGUCUACAGGUAUUGACGUGUCGCUUGGCUAGGUCAUGAGUACAUCAGGCGACCGACGUUAGAAUGCAGGUGACAAGGUACUGUCUUGUCUACAGGUACUGACGUGUCGCUUGGCAAGGUCGUGAGUAAAGCAGGCGACCAACGUUAGAAGUGUUACACGAGGUCACGACACGACAUGAGGUCACGACGAUACAACAUGACGCCACGACAGCAAGUCACGACAGCAGGACGCGACCAUUCUGGUUACCCCUAUGACGACAAGAAGUUUCUUGGCGUUAAACAUGGUACGUAGAAGUAAUUAUCGAACAUCUUUAUUUUAACAAUAUAUUUCUUCGUAAGUUCGCCAACAGAUCGUUGAUUGAUACAUGAAUAUCAAUGGGGGCUAAAGGUACGAACAUACUUUCGAAGUGAGUUAUCUUUUAUUUAUAAUAUACACGUAUUGUCGCUGCCACGUACAUCGCAGAUCGUGAGGGUCAUCAACACAAUCGAAUGGUAUGAGUGACUUAAUUCAUUUAUUAGUGACGUCAAAAUUUUAUAAACUAACACCUCAUAUCCUAUUGAAAUUUUCUCAUAUAUCAUCCGUGAUAACUAUUUUUCAUUUACUAACGACAUGCCGCGACUAUACGCGUUAGUAUGUAUAUUAAUGACAACAGAUUACCUUGAUCAUGACGGUAUGCCCCGACGCCACGAGAUGGCAAUGACCGAUGACACGACGCCACCAGACUACCGAGAAAGCUAAGGAAAUCGGAAUGUCGAAUAAUCAUCAUCAAUGACCAUGAUGACACAUGAGUAACUUCUAAACUAUUUUUCACACACUUUCUCAUUUCAAUUCAUUCAUUGUUGUUCUCUUGUAUUAAUAUGUCUCGUAUUCAACGUUCAUCAAGUUAACUAAUAAAUUUUUGCAUCGCACCAUGAAUGUCUCAAUUUCUCUAAUGACUAAACCAUUUUAUCAAAUCGUUUUGAGGUAAUUUGACUUGACAUGACGUUUAGAGGUUGCAUCAUGCUGACACGCAUGUACGACGUCAAAUAUAAACGAACGUCAUCAUAUCUGUGGCCGACUUCAGUCAUGAUAUCUUCCUAAAGCCGCCACAGGGGGGCAAGAUAGUACAUACUCCUGUUCAGUUUAAUAUACUUGUUACAACUUUGAAAUUUAACUGACGAUGUGAUACAAUUUAUUUUCAUGAUGAUCUUGUCGUAAGAUUUUGGUAACAGGUAUGACGCUAAGACAAAUGUACGGACACUGGGGCUCAACCACUAUCACAUGUCGAAAUAGGCGGAUAAAGAGAAGUCAUUGGGUUUCCCAAAGACGACAAGUGAUAAGACGUCAACCGAUUAACAAGAAAGGUAAUUUAUAAAGAGUUCACAUGUAUUUGAAUUUACGACAUAUUGUAAUGUAAGUUUGUCAAAUGAUUUUACCAAAGACGUUAAGAAAAAGUCCACUUAAGACAGUAUAAGGAAUUCACAUUAACCAUAUGCUCCUUCUUGUGCCACAUUGCGAGGAUCAACCAAUAAGUCGACCAACGUUGGAAUGGAUAGUGUCAAGACCAGCGAUGCGUCAAUCUCAUUCAACGUGACGGGACGACGCCAGAUGUGACGACGAUGAUACAAGCGAUGACAAUGAUCUCAGGAACGAAAACAAGAUCGGCGACGAGAGGUGCCACGACAUCAGGAGAAUGCUGUUGAUUGUAGAAUCGUCAUCAAGGGACAGUCAGCGACACGACGUAAUUUCGUUACACGAGCCCAUA